rnacentral:rRNA from 1 species
GAUGAACGCUGGCGGCGUGCCUAAUACAUGCAAGUCGAGCGAACAGACGAGGAGCUUGCUCCUCUGACGUUAGCGGCGGACGGGUGAGUAACACGUGGAUAACCUACCUAUAAGACUGGGAUAACUUCGGGAAACCGGAGCUAAUACCGGAUAAUAUAUUGAACCGCAUGGUUCAAUAGUGAAAAACGGUUUUGCUGUCACUUAUAGAUGGAUCCGCGCCGCAUUAGCUAGUUGGUAAGGUAACGGCUUACCAAGGCAACGAUGCGUAGCCGACCUGAGAGGGUGGUCGGCCACACUGGAACUGAGACACGGUCCAGACUCCUACGGGAGGCAGCAGUAGGGAAUCUUCCGCAAUGGGCGAAAGCCUGACGGAGCAACGCCGCGUGAGUGAUGAAGGUCUUCGGAUCGUAAAACUCUGUUAUUAGGGAAGAACAAAUGUGUAAGUAACUAUGCACGUCUUGACGGUACCUAAUCAGAAAGCCACGGCUAACUACGUG